AAACUCUGUUGUAUCAUAUUUGAUACAAACAUUUUAACCAAGUUUCUUCAGUACAGUAAAUUCUCAUCUUGAAAUAUUACUAACAAUAUAAAAUUAAUCUUAGUUUUAUUUUUUCAUCAACAGAACUAUGCUGUUAAAUGACUGUAUUUCUGUUUCCUUUAGGAAAGCACAUUGUACACUGAUCAUGUUAAUUCUGAAUAAACGUCAAAAAAAAAAAAGAUUUCACAGAUUAAAAUGCACGCGUAUCACGACCUGAAGGUGGCUCUCCUACAUACGCUUUAAACAUGAAACUACAGUUUUUGUUAUUCAGUUGUUGUACGUAAACAUAUAGCAUAGUGAUAAGUAAUAAGUUUUGUCGAUUUACUUAACGAUAUCUUAACGGAAAGCGUUCGAGCAUUAUACUGUACUGUUGCCAUUGUUAUGAAUAACUUUAGCAUAUAACUUUUAAUAUAUUAUUUCAAUAAAUUUGAGAACCCGUAAUGGUUAUUGAAUACAUUAACAGUUUAUCAUUACUCUUUCCUAAUCGGUGGGCAGGUGUUUUUGACGUCACUUUGGGUUUAAAAGACUGCCCCAUCACUGAGCAUUGAACCUUGAUCCAGCAGGAAAGAAGACGACACAGGCAUAACAAUGAAUAAAAUGUGGAUACUGUGUUUUGCGAUGCUGGUCAUCACCUUACCAUUGUCAACUCAGGAUAGCCCCACUGAUCUGAAGUCCUCAGAUGCAGGCAAUAGCCCACCCGCAAAUUCCAGUGCUGUAGGAUUGGGUCCUGUGCCUACCACACUGUGCCUGCUGAUCCCUGCAGCCACCCUGGGCUUCAUCCACAGUAGAUCCUAAACUGAUGGAUGGAGAGCGUUCGCCAUUGAUGACCAAGAACGAGACAGUGGUGAAAUGGACAGCCAUUCACCCAAAGAGCAAACGUCCGCACAUUUUGAAGACAGAAGAAACCACAACUCACAUUCAUUUUUGUAAUGGAUUUUGACUAAUGAAAUUAAGUAAAGUUUGGAGAAUUUCUCCAAGAGGGAUUUGUUUGGUUGCACCUGUUUUAGGGAGCUUGAAAGACAAAUGCAACUCAGGGUUCUGCUACAGAACCACACCAUUGGGCUCUUUGUCGUGUUUUGCUCCAUAGUCACUGUUUUAGAUCUCACCUACUCAAUGGCAAGUUCUCUUGGAAGAGUUUGUUUCUCCUGUGCUAAGUAUAUGAUUGAGGUUAAGCAGAUUAAAAACAACAUUACUUAAAUCAGUAAUCACGCAUUUAAAAUUUCAGCCCGAUUUCCAUUUCUGUAAUGACAUUAUUUGUACUACAGAUUUUACAUUUAAAUGUGAUCAAUGUACUACAUCUCAAAAUGUGUCUGUAUGCACAAAUAAAAUAGAUGAUUAUA